AUUGAACGCUGGCGGCAUGCCUUACACAUGCAAGUCGAACGGCAGCAUGGGAGCAAUCCUGGUGGCGAGUGGCGAACGGGUGAGUAAAGUAUCGGAACGUGCCCAGUCGUGGGGGAUAACGUAGCGAAAGUUACGCUAAUACCGCAUACGAUCUAUGGAUGAAAGCGGGGGAUCGCAAGACCUCGCGCGAUUGGAGCGGCCGAUAUCAGAUUAGGUAGUUGGUGGGGUAAAGGCUCACCAAGCCGACGAUCUGUAGCUGGUCUGAGAGGACGACCAGCCACACUGGGACUGAGACACGGCCCAGACUCCUACGGGAGGCAGCAGUGGGGAAUUUUGGAUAAUGGGCGAAAGCCUGAUCCAGCCAUGCCGCGUGCAGGAUGAAGGCCUUCGGGUUGUAAACUGCUUUUGUACGGAACGAAAAGGUUUGGCCUAAUAAGCUGAGCUCAUGACGGUACCGUAAGAAUAAGCACCGGCUAACUACGUGCCAGCAGCCGCCGUAA
rnacentral:rRNA from 1 species